UACGAAGGGGGCUAGCGUUGUUCGGAAUCACUGGGCGUAAAGGGCGCGUAGGCGGCCUUGCAAGUCAAAGGUGAAAUCCCUCGGCUCAACUGAGGAACUGCCUUUGAAACUGCAAGGCUUGAGGCCGGGAGGGGGUAGCGGAAUUCCCAGUGUAGCGGUGAAAUGCGUAGAUAUUGGGAGGAACACCAGUGGCGAAGGCGGCUACCUGGACCGGUUCUGACGCUGAUGCGCGAAAGCGUGGGUAGCAAACAGG
rnacentral:rRNA from 1 species